rnacentral:rRNA from 1 species
GCGACGCCGCGUGAGUGAAGAAGUAUUUCGGUAUGUAAAGCUCUAUCAGCAGGGAAGAAAAUGACGGUACCUGACUAAGAAGCCCCGGCUAACUACGUGCCAGCAGCCGCGGUAA